rnacentral:rRNA from 1 species
CCAGCAGCUGCGGUAAUUCCAGCUCCAAUAGCUUAUGCUAAAGUUGUUGCAGUUGAAAAGCUCGUAGUCGAAACACUGGUUGAGAUGGGUUGGGUCUGCCACAGAUUGGUUGCACUCGACCUGUCUCACCAACCUUGCUGUGGCUGGGUGUUACCUCUUAGUUGAGGUUCACCGUUAGUCGCAGCAUCAAUUACCUUGAAUAAAGUAAAGUGCUCAAGGCAGGCAGCAAAGCCAUUGAAUAUGUUAGCAUGGGAUAACAGAAUAGGACACUUGUCCUGUUUGUUGGUCGUCAGGACAUGUGUAAUUAUUAAUAGAAACUGUUUGGGGUGUCUGAAUUCAGGCGGGAGAGG